UAGCGGCGAGCGAACGGGGAGCAGCCCAGAGUCUUAAUCAGCAUUAGCAUCAGGAGAACGGUCUGGAAAGUCCGGCAGUAAAGGGUGAUAGCCCCGUAUCCGAAGGUGUUAGUGUUGUGAACUCGACGAGUAGGGCGGGACACGUGUUAUCCUGUCUGAAUAUGGGGGGACCAUCCUCCAAGGCUAAAUACUCCUGAUUGACCGAUAGUGAACCAGUACCGUGAGGGAAAGGCGAAAAGAACCCCGGCGAGGGGAGUGAAAUAGAACCUGAAACCGUGUACGUACAAGCAGUGGGAGCCUUGAUUUAUCAGGGUGACUGCGUACCUUUUGUAUAAUGGGUCAGCGACUUAUAUUCUGUAGCAAGGUUAACCGWAUAGGGGAGCCGUAGGGAAACCGAGUCUUAACUGGGCGAAUAAGUUGCAGGGUAUAGACCCGAAACCCGGUGAUCUAGCCAUGGGCAGGUUGAAGGUUGGGUAACACUAACUGGAGGACCGAACCGACUAAUGUUGAAAAAUUAGCGGAUGACUUGUGGCUGGGGGUGAAAGGCCAAUCAAACCGGGAGAUAGCUGGUUCUCCCCGAAAGCUAUUUAGGUAGCGCCUYGUGAACUCAUCUUCGGGGGUAGAGCACUGUUUCGACUAGGGGGUCAUCCCGACUUACCAACUCGAUGCAAACUACGAAUACCGAAGAAUGUUAUCACGGGAGACACACGGCGGGUGCUAACGUUCGUCGUGAAGAGGGAAACAACCCAGACCGCCAGCUAAGGUCCCAAAGUCAUAGUUAAGUGGGAAACGAAGUGGGAAGGCUCAGA
rnacentral:rRNA from 1 species